rnacentral:RNase_P_RNA from 1 species
AAGCUGAACGGCCGCGGGCACAGGGCGAAAGCCCGUGCGUGAGGAAAGUCCGGGCUCCACAGGGCGAGGAUAGCGGGUAACGCCCGCCGAAGGCGACUUCAGGACAAGUGCAACAGAGAGAUACCGCCGCGCAUUUCGCGCGGUAAGGGUGGAAAGGUGCGGUAAGAGCGCACCCGCCGGCUGGAGACAGUCCGGUGCUGUAAACUCUAUCCGGAGCAACACCGCGGAGGGGACGCAUGGCCGGCCCGGCCGUCCCCGGGGAGGUGGCUGGAGCGCGCCGGCAACGGCGCGCCUAGAUAGAUGGCCGUUUUGAACAGAACCCGGCUUACAGGCUUGCUUGC